CGCUGNUNAUNCCUUUUAAGUGGGGGANANCAGUUGGNAACGACUGCUAAUACCGCAUAAUGUCUACGGACCAAAGGCGGGCUUCGGCUCUCGCCUUUAGAUUGGCCCAAGUGGGAUUAGCUAGUUGGUGAGGUAAUGGCUCACCAAGGCGACGAUCCCUAGCUGGUUUGAGAGGAUGAUCAGCCACACUGGGACUGAGACACGGCCCAGACUCCUACGGGAGGCAGCAGUGGGGAAUAUUGCACAAUGGGCGCAAGCCUGAUGCAGCCAUGCCGCGUGUGUGAAGAAGGCCUUCGGGUUGUAAAGCACUUUCAGUCAGGAGGAAAGGUUAGUAGUUAAUACCUGCUAGCUGUGACGUUACUGACAGAAGAAGCACCGGCUAACUCCGUGCCAGCAGCCGCGGUAAUACGGAGGGUGCGAGCGUUAAUCGGAAUUACUGGGCGUAAAGCGUACGCAGGCGGUUUGUUAAGCGAGAUGUGAAAGCCCCGGGCUCAACCUGGGAACUGCAUUUCGAACUGGCAAACUAGAGUGUGAUAGAGGGUGGUAGAAUUUCAGGUGUAGCGGUGAAAUGCGUAGAGAUCUGAAAGGAAUACCGAUGGCGAAAGGCAGCCACCUGGGUCAACAUUGACGCUCAUGUACGAAAGCGUGGGGAGCNAACGGGAUUAGAUACCCCGGUAGUCCACGCCGUAAACGAUGUCUACUAGAAGCUCGGAGCCCUCGGUUCUGUUUUUCNAAGCUAACGCAUUUAAGUAGACCGCCCUGGGGAGUACGGCCGCAAGGUUAAAACCUCCAAAUGAAUUUGACGGGGGGCCCCCGCACCAAAGGCGGGUGGGAGCAUUGGUGGUUUAAAUUCCGAUUGCCAAACCGCCGAGGAACCU
rnacentral:rRNA from 1 species